UGGGGCAUAGCCAAGUGGUAAGGCAUCAGAUUUUGAUUCUGACAUUUCGUAGGUUCGAAUCCUUCUGCCCCA
rnacentral:tRNA from 1 species